rnacentral:rRNA from 1 species
GGCUUAGAAGCAGCCAUCAUUUAAAGAAAGCGUAAUAGCUCACUGGUCGAGUCGGCCUGCGCGGAAGAUGUAACGGGGCUAAACCAUGCACCGAAGCUGCGGCAGCGACGCUUAUGCGUUGUUGGGUAGGGGAGCGUUCUGUAAGCCUGUGAAGGUGUGCUGUGAGGCAUGCUGGAGGUAUCAGAAGUGCGAAUGCUGACAUAAGUAACGAUAAAGCGGGUGAAAAGCCCGCUCGCCGGAAGACCAAGGGUUCCUGUCCAACGUUAAUCGGGGCAGGGUGAGUCGACCCCUAAGGCGAGGCCGAAAGGCGUAGUCGAUGGGAAACAGGUUAAUAUUCCUGUACUUGGUGUUACUGCGAAGGGGGGACGGAGAAGGCUAUGUUGGCCGGGCGACGGUUGUCCCGGUUUAAGCGUGUAGGCUGGUUUUCCAGGCAAAUCCGGAAAAUCAAGGCUGAGGCGUGAUGACGAGGCACUACGGUGCUGAAGCAACAAAUGCCCUGCUUCCAGGAAAAGCCUCUAAGCAUCAGGUAACAUCAAAUCGUACCCCAAACCGACACAGGUGGUCAGGUAGAGAAUACCAAGGCGCUUGAGAGAACUCGGGUGAAGGAACUAGGCAAAAUGGUGCCGUAACUUCGGGAGAAGGCACGCUGAUAUGUAGGUGAAGUCCCUCGCGGAUGGAGCUGAAAUCAGUCGAAGAUACCAGCUGGCUGCAACUGUUUAUUAAAAACACAGCACUGUGCAAACACGAAAGUGGACGUAUACGGUGUGACGCCUGCCCGGUGCCGGAAGGUUAAUUGAUGGGGUCAGCGCAAGCGAAGCUCUUGAUCGAAGCCCCGGUAAACGGCGGCCGUAACUAUAACGGUCCUAAGGUAGCGAAAUUCCUUGUCGGGUAAGUUCCGACCUGCACGAAUGGCGUAAUGAUGGCCAGGCUGUCUCCACCCGAGACUCAGUGAAAUUGAACUCGCUGUGAAGAUGCAGUGUACCCGCGGCAAGACGGAAAGACCCCGUGAACCUUUACUAUAGCUUGACACUGAACAUUGAGCCUUGAUGUGUAGGAUAGGUGGGAGGCUUUGAAGUGUGGACGCCAGUCUGCAUGGAGCCGACCUUGAAAUACCACCCUUUAAUGUUUGAUGUUCUAACGUUGACCCGUAAUCCGGGUUGCGGACAGUGUCUGGUGGGUAGUUUGACUGGGGCGGUCUCCUCCUAAAGAGUAACGGAGGAGCACGAAGGUUGGCUAAUCCUGGUCGGACAUCAGGAGGUUAGUGCAAUGGCAUAAGCCAGCUUGACUGCGAGCGUGACGGCGCGAGCAGGUGCGAAAGCAGGUCAUAGUGAUCCGGUGGUUCUGAAUGGAAGGGCCAUCGCUCAACGGAUAAAAGGUACUCCGGGGAUAACAGGCUGAUACCGCCCAAGAGUUCAUAUCGACGGCGGUGUUUGGCACCUCGAUGUCGGCUCAUCACAUCCUGGGGCUGAAGUAGGUCCCAAGGGUAUGGCUGUUCGCCAUUUAAAGUGGUACGCGAGCUGGGUUUAGAACGUCGUGAGACAGUUCGGUCCCUAUCUGCCGUGGGCGCUGGAGAACUGAGGGGGGCUGCUCCUAGUACGAGAGGACCGGAGUGGACGCAUCACUGGUGUUCGGGUUGUCAUGCCAAUGGCACUGCCCGGUAGCUAAAUGCGGAAGAGAUAAGUGCUGAAAGCAUCUAAGCACGAAACUUGCCCCGAGAUGAGUUCUCCCUGACUCCUUGAGAGUCCUGAAGGAACGUUGAAGACGACGACGUUGAUAGGCCGGGUGUGUAAGCGCAGCGAUGCGUUGAGCUAACCGGUACUAAUGAACCGUGAGGCUUAACCUUACAAC